CCUACGGGGGGCAGCAGUGAGGAAUAUUGGUCAAUGGGCGCGAGCCUGAACCAGCCAAGUCGCGUGAGGGAAGACGGUUCUAUGGAUUGUAAACCUCUUUUGUCGGGGAGCAAAAGACGCCACGCGUGGCGUUCCGUGAGUACCCGAAGAAAAAGCAUCGGGUAACUCCGUGCCAGCAGCCGCGGUCAUACGGAGGAUGCGAGCGUUAUCCGGAUUUAUUGGGGUAAAGGGGUGAGCGGGCGGAGGUGAAAGUCAUCGGUAAAAUUGCGGGGCUCAACCCCGUACUGCCGUUGAAACUGCAUCCCUUGAGUGCGCGAGAAGUAUGCGGAAUGCGUGGUGUAGCGGUGAAAUGCAUAGAUAUCACGAAGAACUCCGAUUGCGAAGGCAGCAUACCGGCGCGCAACUGACGCUCAUGCACGAAAGCGUGGGUAUCGAACAGGAUUAGAUACCCCAGUAGUC
rnacentral:rRNA from 1 species